GGGCCCGUAGCUCAUUUGGAUAGAGCAACUGACUUCUAAUCAGUUGGCGGGAGGUUCGAAUCCUCUCGGGCCCG
rnacentral:tRNA from 2 species